AGUGAACGCUGGCGGUAGGCCUAACACAUGCAAGUCGAACGGCAGCACAGUAAGAGCUUGCUCUUACGGGUGGCGAGUGGCGGACGGGUGAGGAAUACAUCGGAAUCUACUUUUUCGUGGGGGAUAACGUAGGGAAACUUACGCUAAUACCGCAUACGACCUACGGGUGAAAGCAGGGGAUCUUCGGACCUUGCGCGAUUGAAUGAGCCGAUGUCGGAUUAGCUAGUUGGCGGGGUAAAGGCCCACCAAGGCGACGAUCCGUAGCUCGUCUGAGAGGAUGAUCGGCCACCCUGGAACUGAGACACGGUCCAGACUCCUACGGGAGGCAGCAGUGGGGAACAGUAGGCAAAGGGCGGAAGCCUGACCCAGCCAUCCCGCGUGUGUGAAGAAGGCCUUCGGGUCGUAAAGCCCUUUUGUUGGGAAAGAACAGCAGUAGGUUAAUACCCCGCUGUUCUGACGGUACCCAAUGAAUAAGCACCGGCUAACUACGUG
rnacentral:rRNA from 1 species